AAGGAACUCGGCAAAAUGACCCCGUAACUUCGGGAGAAGGGGAACCUAGGUAAAACUAGGUCGCAGAGAAAAGGCCCAAGCAACUGUUUAACAAAAACACAGGUUUCUGCUAAAUCGAAAGAUGAAGUAUAGGAGCUGACGCCUGCCCAGUGCUGGAAGGUCAAGGGGAGAUGUUAGAAGAAAUUCGAAGCAUAGAACCAAAGCCCCAGUGAACGGCGGCCGUAACUAUAACGGUCCUAAGGUAGCGAAAUUCCUUGUCAGGUAAGUUCUGACCCGCACGAAAGGCGUAAUGAUUUGGGCACUGUCUCGACAAUGUACCCGGCGAAAUUGUAGUACUAGUGAAGAUGCUAGUUACCUGCGACAAGACAGAAAGACCCCAUGGAGCUUUACUGUAGUUUGAUAUUGGGUUUUGGUAAUUUAUGUACAGGAUAGGUGGGAGACAGAGAAGGAUGUGCGUCAGCAUAUCUGGAGUCAACGUUGGGAUACCACUCUUAAGUUAUUGAAAUUCUAACUUGUGAUCAUAAACUGGUCAGAGGACAAUGUCAGACGGGCAGUUUGACUGGGGCGGUCGCCUCCAAAAGAGUAACGGAGGCGCCCAAAGGUUCCCUCAGUGCGGACAGAAAUCGCACAAAAGAGUGUAAAGGCAGAAGGGAGCUUAACUGGAAGAUAGACAUAUCGAGCAGAUACGAAAGUAGGGCUUAGUGAUCCGGUGGAAUUGAAUGGAAAAGCCAUCGCUCAACGGACAAAAGUUACCCUGGGGAUAACAGGCUUAUCUCCCCCAAGAGUUCACAUCGACGGGGAGGUUUGGCACCUCGAUGUCGGCUCAUCGCAUCCUGGAGCGGAAGUACGUUCCAAGGGUUGGGCUGUUCGCCCAUUAAAGCGGUACGCGAGCUGGGUUCAGAACGUCGUGAGACAGUUCGGUCCUUAUCUGUCGCAGGCGGAAGAUAUUUGAAGGGAGCUGUCCUUAGUACGAGAGGACCAGGAUGGACAUACCGAUGGUUUAUCAGUUGUCACACCAGUGGCAUGGCUGAGUAGCCAAGUAUGGAAGGGAUAAACGCUGAAAGCAUCUAAGUGUGAAGCCCACCCUAAGAUAAGAUAUCUCAUACCGUAAGGUAGUAAGAUUCCAUAAAGACUAUGUGGUUGAUAGGUUGGAGGUGUAAGUACAGUAAUGUAUUGAGCUGACCAAUACUAAUAAAUCGAGGGCUUAACCAC
rnacentral:rRNA from 1 species